rnacentral:rRNA from 1 species
AUUGAACGCUGGCGGAAUGCUUUACACAUGCAAGUCGAACGGCAGCACGGACUUCGGUCUGGUGGCGAGUGGCGAACGGGUGAGUAAUAUAUCGGAACGUGCCCAGUCGUGGGGGAUAACGUAGUGAAAAUUACGCUAAUACCGCAUACGAUCUAAGGAUGAAAGCGGGGGAUCGCAAGACCUCGCGCGAUUGGAGCGGCCGAUAUCAGAUUAGGUAGUUGGUGAGGUAAAGGCUCACCAAGCCAACGAUCUGUAGCUGGUCUGAGAGGACGACCAGCCACACUGGAACUGAGACACGGUCCAGACUCCUACGGGAGGCAGCAGUGGGGAAUUUUGGACAAUGGACGCAAGUCUGAUCCAGCCAUUCCGCGUGCAGGACGAAGGCCUUCGGGUUGUAAACUGCUUUUGUACAGAACGAAAAGGUCUCUAUUAAUACUAGGGGCUCAUGACGGUACUGUAAGAAUAAGCACCGGCUAACUACGUGCCAGCAGCCGCCGUAACAC